CGGAGUUGUUAACUGUUCUUGAGAGUUCCCUGAUACUUUUGUAAUGAUGACGAUGCCCCUAUAUGAAUAGGAUAGAGUGAUAUCCCUGCUUUUCUUGUGACACACGGGCAGCAGCGCGGCUCUGAAUACGAACUGUACUCUCUAUGUCAAGCAGCAUAACAGGGACUUCCGGUGACUUGUGUAUAAGGUUUUUAUCAGACACAUUUAAGUUAUGUUCAGGUGAUACCGCAUCAUGCCUGACAGCAACUCUUCCACCGGUAAAGAAUGCUACUUCACCGACUCUGUGUGCCACUCGAUCCAGCGUUCUAACUUAGCGUGUUCUCAUUGACACGGGACAUGCUUUUUCCCCUACUGUAUCACAACAACGACGUUUCCUUGCCCGAGGCAAAUGACUGCAUGCGGACCAGCUGGCCACAGUCAAAUGGUUAGCUACCACCAGGCACCAGUUAUUCAAAAUUGUUGCUCUGCUCGUUUUCCAAAGUGGAUUUGAAGAGCAUGUUGUGUCACUGUAUAACUAUUUGACCGUGCCGAACAUUCUCGUGUGGCUGCCCUCGGCACUUUUCAAGUUUCGAUUCCAGCUUUUGUCACGGUUCAUCCCCCCGACUUCUGUGCGGGCUUCAGGAAAUCUGUCAGCUUCUGUUUCUUGGAACAGUUUUUUGCCAUGCCUGCCUCAGCAGGAAGGGUUCCUAUGCCUGAGGGCAAUCGCGUAUCAGUGUCGUCAAGUCUACGCACACAUGCGAUAUGGGUAAGUGGAUAGUGAGAAAGGAGCUAAACGUUCCCGUGCUGUACAACUUUCUACGUCUGACCGGGGAUAUGAGCAUGCAGAAAGAGUAAGACCAUGGGAACAAGACGCUGUCAACUAAAGCCUCGGGAACGUUCAUUGGUGUCUGUAUUCGGACCCAAGUUGCAGGUAAUGAAGGACUUAAUGCAUAUUGCGAAGCGGUUUCACUUUACGGCAAAAACUGGCUCCACGACAACUGUUCUUGGGUCCGAAUGGUGCUGCUUGGAGAGGACGCGAGUCUUGCAUUUGUGUCCAGAAUACUAGGAUAGUUGUCUAAUGGAGUGCUACAUAUAAGGUUUGCUCCGUAUUUGCCAACAAUCACGUUGUCUUUGAAUACACGGAAAAUAAACAGUUUGCCAGAAGUGUUGUUCCAGGAUUCUGUGGUGCAUGGAGCAGAGAGAUUCAGUAAAGUACGACCCUUAUGCUCCCGCUUCGGAAAGAGGAGAGAGCAAAUCGAAACUCAUCCACCUCGACGAGUUGCAGUUAAAAGCGCGUGAGCUCUUCAUGCUAGCCCGAUUGUCUGGCAGCAUUGCUCCGCGGGUCCCUGGUGCUUGUCGCAUUUGUCAUGAAGGUGCGUGCGACUACACAAGCGGCGUGCUCGAGUACGGAAACAGAUCCCAUUGAAUAGGAUGCUACGUCAGCGACAACACAAUAGGAAAAACUUUUGAUUCCUUCGAGAUUCUGGCAGGGCUCACCGUCUACCCUGUUCAGAGGGCCUAAGGCCAUCGGUGUCAUCCAGAUAAGACACUGGUAUCAGUUGAGACAGAAGAGUUCCGUUUGCUGUUCUACGAAGCUGACCACAAAGGUACUGCUCUACCACAGCAGAUGUUCUCGCACUGUGCGGCUCCUGUUCCGUUCACUAUCAGUUGGUCACCUGCCUCACCAAUGCCGCAACAUGAUAACUAUCUCGGACCGCAGCGAGGAGGCCGUAGCAACACAAGAAGCUGCCGUCAAGGUGUUGGUCGAAAACGACGAG
rnacentral:lncRNA from 1 species